UAGAGCCUCCUGGGGCCUGAGAUGCAGAAAUGCGGUUGCACCCUGCGAGAAAUAUUAAGCAACAUCCAGUUAGGAGACAGAGCCUGUGUGGGUGCUGUGAGGGCAACUCUGGGCUGUGUGACACCAGACAGAUGGGGCAGGGGCCACCAGAGGUGCAUGGGAGCAGCGGGCUCUGGGAAGGGCACUCACCCACACCAUCACACAUCUGUUUCAAUGUGAGGUGGAGACUCUGACCUAUUCCCCAAACCUCUGAUCCCACAGGGAAAGGCCUGCCUGGUGGACGAGGACUCCCACUCUUCAGCUGGGACACUGCCGGGCCCCGGAGCCUCCCUCCCCUCCUCCUCUGGCCCAGGAUUGAAGUAGCUGGACAUGCUGACUCCUAUACAAACAUAUUACGGAAAUAUACUAGAUCAGCACUGCAGAUGGUGAUUUGUAUCCUGCCCGAUGAUGACAAAUACAGAUAUGACCACAUAAAAAAAUACCUGUGUACCACAUUCCCGUUUCCAAGCCAAUGUGCAGUGAAAAAGACCAUUGAGAAGGUCCAGGCAAAGACUAUCAUCACCAAGAUUGCCCAGCAGAUGAAUUGCAAGAUGGGAGGAGCCCUCUGGAAGGUGGAGAC